UACGAGUGCCCCGAGCGUUAUCCGGAAUCACUGGGCGUAAAGGGUGCGUAGGUGGCAUAGAAAGUUUGAUGUGAAAGCUCAGGGCUUAACCCUGAAAUGGCAUUGAAUACUGCUGUGCUGGAGGUUUGGAGGGGGGACUGGAAUUCUUGGUGUAGCAGUGAAAUGCGUAGAUAUCAAGAGGAACACCAGUGGCGAAGGCGAGUCCCUGGACAACACCUGACACUGAGGCACGAAAGCUAGGGGAGCAAACAGG
rnacentral:rRNA from 1 species